UUGCACGAUAUCAAUAGCAGCUUGUGGCUGAUUGGAAUCAACAGCAAGGUAAUUUCUUUUUCUCUUAUUUAUUUUAUUCUUUUAUCAUCUUUUUUUGUAACCGCUUGUGCACAACUUAUCCUUCUCGCUCAAGUAACGUCUUCCAUGCAAAGGGGAUAACCACAUGGUGUGAACGAAUAUCUACAUGUCCCCGCCAUAAGAAAGGUAAUUUCAUGGUAAUCUUAUUGGGAAUAGGGAUAGCUACUCUUCCCCACCAUAAGAAAAGUAAUUUCAUGGUGCCAUAAGAAAGGUAAUUUCAUGGUAAUUUUAUAGCGCAUAGGAACGACUACUCGUCCCCACCAUAAGAAAAGGUAACUUCAUGGUAGUCUUAUGGUAAAAGGUAAAAGAUAAUUUCAUGGUAGUCUUAUGACAAAUGAAAAAGGUAACUCCAUGGUAGUCUUAUGGCAAAGUUAAAAGGUAACUUCAUGGUAGUCUUAUGGCAAAGGUAAAAGGUAACUCCAUGGCAGUCUUAUGGCAAACGUAAAAGGUAACUUCAUGGUAAUCUUAUGGCGCAUCGGGAUGACUACUCGUACCCGCCAUAAGAAAGAUAAAAGGUAACUUUAUGGUAAUCUUAUGGCGCAGUAGGGAAACUACUCGUCCCUGCCAUAAGAAAAGGUAAUUUCAUGAAGAUUAGAAGGUAAACUAAAGAAGGUUUGAAGGAUUUAAAGACUUCAACUUAUAGAUCAAAGAACCCGAUGACUCCAACUUUCAAACUCUGAAAGCUUCAAUAUGACAGACUUGAAGACUUUAACUUAUAGUCG
rnacentral:lncRNA from 1 species